rnacentral:rRNA from 1 species
GACGAACGCUGGCGGCGUGCUUAACACAUGCAAGUCGAACGGUGAUGCCCCAGCUUGCUGGAGUGGAUCAGUGGCGAACGGGUGAGUUACACGUGAGCAACCUGCCACAGACCCUGGAAUAAGCGCUGGAAACGGCGUCUAAUACUGGCUACGAAACUGGCCCGCUUGGUCAUGGUUUGGAAAGUUUUUCGGUUUGGGAUGGGAUCGCGGCCUAUCAGCUUGUUUGUUUGGUAAUGGCUCACCAAGGCGAGGCCGGGUAGCCGGCCUGAUCGGGCCACAGGCCAAGCUGGGCCGGGGACACGGCCCAGACUACUACGGGACGCAAGGGUGGAGAAUAUUGCACUAUGGGCGAAGGCCUGAUGCAGCGACGCCGCGUGAGGGAUGACGGCCUUCGGUUUGUAAUCCUCAGCCAGCAUGGAAGAAGCGAAAGUGACGGUACCGGCAGAAGAAGCUCCGGCUAACUACGUG